GCUUCAUCAGGUGCCGUUCCUUGACUGCAGCAACAAUUUCAAACACAAUUAAAAGUAGGAUAAUGAUCCUCAAACUAGAUAUCUUUUUUGGGGAAUAAAAAGUAAGACCAAAAACUAAACAGAGACCAGCUAAGCCCUUGUCUUUUCCAUUUUCUUUAUAUUUUUUUCCCGGGUUGGGUGGAGCUGGAGGGGCAAGCAUAUCAGCAAAAACAUCCAAGAGCACCUUAAUCACAUUCAUCAAGUCAAUUUGGCCAACUCCACCCUUAUCUAUGCCAUAAUGUGUCGUUAGCAAGUAGCAACAGUAUAUGAAAACAUCAAAGAAUAGAACCCACAUCAAAGCUCCAUAAACAAAGAUCUGAGCACGCAAUUGCACUUGCUGUAAAUCU
rnacentral:misc_RNA from 1 species